rnacentral:misc_RNA from 1 species
UCUCCGUAGGUGAACCUGCGGAGGGAUCAUUAGUGAGUUGAAUAUGUAAGCAAACCUUCUCGGAGUCUCUAUCAUCAAGUCAUAUCCAUAACACCAGUAAACCGUAAGCCUGCGUUGAAAACGAAAGUGAUGACAGCUACUUCCUAUUUUAUACAAACAGUAGAGUAACAAACGUAGUCUCCAUAUAAUCUAAUAAAACUUUCAACAACGAAUCACUUCGAUCCCCCAUCGAUGAAGAACGCAGCAGAUCGGAAGAACGCACGACUGAACUCCAGUACC